UCCAACCAAAGGACAAGACAGUUGCCACCACAGUGCCUGGGGCCCAGUAAAUGCUCUGUAAACAGUAGUUAAUCAUCGCUACCUUGAGUACUGACAUCACUUUAUUUUCACUAACUUGGACCUUAAAUCUUAGGGUCCUGUCUUUUUACUUCUAGCAAGGUCUAAUCAGUAACAGGACUCCCACUGGGGAGUUCAGCACCUCUUGCCUGAAAUGCCUUCAAACUUGUUUCACUUGUGUCCUCCUCUUGCCAAUACAUCCUUCACAAGACCACAGCUCUGAAAUCAGAUGAACUUGAGUAACAGGUAACCUGUCCCUGCUCCACCCUACCUGCCAACAAGACAGUUCCAUGAUGAGAGAUCUCUCUGGAGAGACACAGCAGUCUGAGGAAGCUCUCAAGUCAUCUGGACAGAGCACCGCAGAUGAGCAGGGUUUGAUAAGGCAGCCCUUCAGUGGCAUUCUUAGUCCUCAAGAGAUAUAUCACUCUGUUCAAACAUGUCCAGGACUCUCUGGAGGCACUUGAGUUCCUGGAGGAAAGGUUCUGAGCAGACUCACUCCAGCUGGAGACACAGACUGAGCUGGAGUGGAGAUAACCCAGACACCAGCUGGGACCUCUGAAUUCAGUAGACUUGGGAGAGAAGAGGAGAAGAAGAGAGAAACAACAUCUAGUUGAAAUUGCUAAGAUAAUUUAUUAAGGGGAGAAAAAAUGUA